rfam:Cricetulus griseus cell line CHO-K1, whole genome shotgun sequence.
ACUGGACAAGAUUAAAAUGCUCUUCUGUCACUGUAACAGUUCACAUCGGCUCUGACAGCAGAGCAUUUUAACUUUGUCAAGC